GACUACAAAACGCGCCGGAACUUCAGCACAAGCCUCAGUUUAGACCGACGGUGAAAGUGAGGAGUCCUUUCGCGGAAGAAACGCAAAAGACCCUGCAGAAAAACAUAUACCCUGUUGGGAAUCAAAACUACUUCCUCAAGCAACAAGGAUUGCCCUGAGCCACCUCCGUCAGCAAUGAUUUUGCCUCACACUUGGCACAGAACUAGAAGCUAUCAGUUGAAAAACCCUCACUAUGGUCUCAUUACAUGGAUGAACUGUCUGCAUCUGCACUCUACAUCAACUCUGGCAGACUCAAAGACCUGCCCCUGGUGCUGCUCUCUGCUAAAUCCCAAUUUCCUCUGCUCUACCCAGUCCUUCCAUCUGCACUCAGACUUGUUCUCCUAUCUUUAAUUCUCCCAUCUUCCUAUCUACAUCCCACACCCUCACUCCCUCCCCCAACUCCUCAAAUGAAUAUCUGACUCUAUUGUUCAUGACAGCUUGAUCUUCUGGGAGCUCUUUCCACCCAGUGGCAAGCCCUCAUAUCCUUUCAUUGAUCAGCCCAACCCAAACCAGUUUCUGUCUCUACCACAAGACCAAUAAAGUUGGGGCUGCGUGGGUGGCUGCAUCGGUUGGGCGUUUGCCUUUGGCUCGGGUUGUGGUCCCAGGGUCCCGGGGGGCCUGGGAUGAGGCCCCACAUUGGGCUCCCUGCUCGGUGGGGAGCCUGA